UUAAGAGUGUGUUUUUAAUCUUAUCUUAAGAACUAGAUAACUUUAGUGUCGAAAUAACUGUCGUAUUUAUUUUAGAUAUUAUUCCAUAUUAAAUCUGAUUGCAAUGGGAUUCCAGCAAGUGACGUAGCGUGAUAUCUCGAUUCUGAAUGGCUGUUGAAGCGUGACAUUUUCUUACGUUAGUAAAUGUUCUUUCCAUUCUAUUUCAACUCCAUUUGAAGUUGUUGAUUGCAGGGAAAAGAUGGCAACGAAGAAUAUGGAAAAAGUACAGAGAGUUAAACCCCGCAAUAGUGAACACGGUUUAUAGCAAACUCCCGGAUAUAGUGAACGAAAUGUUCGCUCUCGUGCCUUGUUACACGUAUAAUGUUAUUUAUUGUGGAUAUAGUGAACCAAGAAAAAAGAGGAAGUUGGACAUUAUGAACUUUUUCCUGUUUUUCGACUGAUUUAUUUUCUUAAUUUUUUUGCAAUUAUUUUAAAAUUUCUACUGCGAAAUAAAUGCAUAUACUGAUUUUUAAAACCAUCUAUAGCAUGGAAUGUAUCAAUAAGGAUUUUUUUCCUUGUUUGCUUAUUAUUGAAAAAGUUACUGAAUUGGUUCAGCAUUCAAGGAAUCCGCUAUCUUCAAGUAUCUGGGCAAAUGCUUCAAGUCAAAGCCGAUGAAUUUGCUAAGCAAUAUGGUAAGACUACUUUUAUGCACUCCAAUGGCUUGUUAGAGAUGUUUAAAAAAAGCGGAAUAACAUAAUAUCGAGAAAAAUUAUCGGAGAGUCGGGAAGUGUUUCCAUAUUUGAAGAUUGUUCAUCAGCUAAGGAUUACUAAUUUUUUUUUGUAUGCAAGACGAAGAGUAAUAAAAAAUAAAAGUUAACACAUUUUUGUUA